CAGGAGGAAGCGAGGAAGGAUAAAGAGUUGUUUCUCCCCCAAAAGAGGCAAGUAAGUCAGAAAGAAGCCCUGUGCUCCAACUCCUGGAAGAUGGGAGCCAGAGGAAAAGAAGCAGCCAAAGGAGCUGCCAGGCUGAAGCUGGGAAAGGACAGCACAGGCAGGAGGCCCCACAGGACAGGCCCUCAUGGGAAACUGCUCCCGCCUGGCCCCCAACAGCCUCGUGGAGCAGUCAAGAAUCAGCCUCGCAGGCAAAGGAGAAGCCCUUUCCAUGAGGAGCACUGCUCUUUCCUCUUCCAACAACUGCUGCGUCCCACCCAGCAGCCCAGCUGCUGUGCAAGCCCACCACUGAGAGACCCUCAGCUCCUCUGAGCCAUAUCACAUCGUCCAUCUUGGUGACCUUGGGUCUUUGACCUCUGUUCGUCUCAGCUGUCUCAUGCAUUCACUCAGGAAGGCGCCACCUUCCUGGCCCUGCUGUCUCUUUGGGAUCCAACCAAGAAACCAUGGAGGGCAGAAGAAAACAGAACAAUUUUUUUUAAUUGCUUAAAGAAAAGAGUUGUCAACCAGGAUUUUGUACCCAGCAAAAAUAUCCUUCAGAAAUGAAAGUGAAAUAAACACAUUCUCCAAUUAAGGAAAAUGAAGAUAAUCCAUUGCCAGCACACUUGCUCUAAAAGAACUACUGAAUUAAGUUCUUCAGACAAAAGGGACAUUACAUUAGAAAGAAAUUUGGAACAUCAAGAAGGAAGGAGAACAAAA
rnacentral:lncRNA from 1 species